rnacentral:lncRNA from 1 species
AGUAUGUACCUUUCUGGCGAUGUCGAGGCAUUACUGGAGCGCCGGAAUGAUGCAGUCGAAUUAGCAUUUCCUCUUUGUUGCGAAAUGGAGGAGACACUUAAAAACUAGUAGCACGUUAUUUAUUAUUUGUAUCUCAUUUGUCCGAUUCCUUUCCACCCAAGAAAAAAUAAAAUUAGAAGUGGGUAAAGAAUCUGUUUUGGUGAUUUGCAUGAAUCCAAAUAAUCCAUAGUGGUGGUGUCGGUUUUGUUAUUUGAGAAUCUAGGUCUGCAUUCAUUACAGUGGGUGGUUCUGUUCUUUUUGACAUAAUAGUUCCAUUGGCUAAAAUAAUAGCUGCCUGCAAGGGAUUGGUAUAUGCCGUCACUAUCUUACAUGCAAAUUAUAUCAUUUUUGAAGGAGAUUCUAGAAAUGUUGUUAUUAUCAUGGAUC